rnacentral:rRNA from 1 species
CACGUAGGGCGCAAGCGUUGUCCGGAAUUAUUGGGCGUAAAGAGCUCGUAGGCGGUCUGUUGCGUCCGCUGUGAAAACUCGGGGCUUAACCCCGAGCCUGCAGUGGAUACGGGCAGACUAGAGGUAGGUAGGGGAGAAUGGAAUUCCCGGUGUAGCGGUGAAAUGCGCAGAUAUCGGGAGGAACACCGGUGGCGAAGGCGGUUCUCUGGGCCUUACCUGACACUGAGGCACGAAAGCUAGGGGAGCAAACAGG